AACAGUUUGCUUCUUGCUCUGGUUAUGUUUAAGCUUGCAGACUCAUCCGGUUCAAAGUAACAAGCAUUCUCAAGUGAAAAUAAGACUUCACGUUUCAUAACAAGCAUUCCCAAUGUACAGUGUUGUACUACAUUUGAGCAUACUGCAAGACAACAGCUCAUCACAACGAGCCUUAUGAUGUUUCACACUCCAUAAUUUAACUUUGUCAUUCAUAAGAAGCCUCGAAGCGGAGGGAUAUGGCGCCUUCUCAGGCCAUCUGCGGCCCAAGCUGUCUCUGACUGUCAGGGUCGAUUCUGAAUUGGCCCUCUGCUUCCUCAAAUGGCCAAACAUGUUGACGUCAACUCCGCCCUAGGCCGCUGUCUCUGUUCCUCUCUCUGGCCGGCCGGUCAUUGCCCUCUGGUCUCUCGCCUCGGCACUGGAUUGCCGUCCUCUGGCCUUGCUCACCAGAUGGCCUACUCUGCCUCCAAGAUUGCAGUAGCUGGGACCUCCGAAGAGGGCCGGGCGGGGUGAGGCCCAGUUGCCGCGAGUUAUAACUGAGUAUGGACGACGAGGACCAGGAAUCAGCAUGCCAUCGUCUCUGUUGCUUUGGCUACGAGCCUGCCACCAACAAAAAAAGGUUUGGUGAAAACCUUAUCUCUUCCUCCCUCCUUACAUGUCCAGGCUGUAAACGCACACAUUUGCUAAAGUUUCUCCGGCCCUCUCCUAUCCUCUGGCAAUAACAAUUUUAAAAAAUUAUUUCUUGCAAGGUAGCAUCCUUCAUAUCUUUCCCUUGCAUGGCACAUGUUUAAUGGUUUGCCUAUAUGACUGUACUCUCUUGUGCUCCAUUUCUGGGUAUAUGUUUUCCAUAGAUCUACUAGGGGAUCUACUAGGGGCACCAAUUAUUAUUAUCAUUUUCUGCUGCAACAAUGUUGUUUUAGCUAGGUAUUACAUGUAGUUCUCCUGCAUGUUCAGAAAGAAAAUCAAUAUCGUUAUGAAAAUAAAUAGCAGUAAUUAGGUCUGAAGCCACCAAGAAAUCCAGUAAAUUGACAUCGACGUGUACUAAAAGUCGGGUUUAGCGCAAAUGCACAAUAGUUACAUAAUUUGGGAUGAGAUUAAAGAGAAUUAGAACUAUAAUUUAGAAAUGUAGAAUAAUUAAUUACAGUGUCAAAAUAGAUGUGAAAAUCAUCAAGCUUGUGUUUCUGAAGUACUUCAUCUAAGCCAAUGUCAUUGCCUAUCGUAUUCAUCAAGCAAGCUCUACCUCUACCGGGUAGCAGCAUCGUUAUGGGUGCAGUGUAGUGAAGAUCUUGAAUAAUUUUGUCCGAACUGAUAAAUCUCGUGGUUUUGAGUUCUGGUUGUAAUGGAAGAUCAUUCGAUCCUGUCGUCCCCCGCGCUGGUAGCCAAUAAAUAUAAAGUUUAAAUGCUGAUAUUGUUCCCAUAUAUAGAAAGGCAGUCACAAUUAAAAUGCACCAUGGAGGCCACUAGAAUAGGACGUAUCCACUCUGAUGGGGUUUAAAGGACAUUAGAAACCAGCAGACUGAAUGAACACAUUAGAACCAACUUUCACUUGGCUCUACUUCUCCUGGUGUAUCUAAUAGCAGAGGAUCACAACAAAUAGGAUCCAAGCACACUUACCCAAAUUCACCUAAUUUUCCUUUCAAUUUUCCCAAAUUGUACAAGUCUUCUGUUCAAACGGCAAAUAAAACUAAUUUGCUAUGAAUCAAAAUAAUUUAGAUCACAUAAUCCUUGAAGAAAGGUCGCAUUUUUUUUCCUUUCUGCGAUCCAAGUGUUUUCUUGUUCCCAUGUGUAUCUGAAAUGAACUAUAAGGACACUUAUGGAAACUUUAGGUAAACUUAUGACAUCAACUAAACUACAAUAGUUCCUUUUAGAGUAAAGAAUCAAAUAUGUUCUUAUUCGCAUCAAUAGCACAUUUUUCAGAGCAUGAACCAUGCAACAUAAAAACUACUCCUGUCACUACACAUAAAGUGCCUGGGGGAAAUAUCCUCUCCCGGAUCAUCAGAAAGUAGGGAAUCAGCCACUUCCUAAGCUUCCUGGAAGCAAUCACUCCCAGAUUUCUCUUGGGAUGAAGCCACACCCAGAGAAGGUUGAGGAGCAGGAUUUUUAGUCAAUUCUACAUAAACAUCAAACCUAGCUUUUUCUAAAGAUUGAAUACCAUCUAAAUUAAUAGCAACAUCAUCCUCAGAAUUUCCCAACUCUACAUCAAGAUUUCGAGCGAUGCCAUCAAGUUUCUUGUGAAAAGAAGUAAGAACAGAUAAGUAACUGGGAGUACCAUUGGCGAUCUCCAAGUUUUUCACCCUGACAUUGUGGAUGGCCCUGUCAUGCGCAGUAUAGUUCAAGUCUUGAGCACCUCCUCAUUGUGUUGUCUUGAUCAUGACCUGCCCUUGAAGAAGUAAACUCAUUGUUCUCCACACCAGGUUCAGAAAUCUGACAUCUGUUGGUUUCAUUCGAGAUCAUCUAUGUAUGCCUUACUGCCAAUGCCCUCCAGCUCAUCCAGAAUUUGAUCAGAGAUUCUGCUCCCACUAUCUUGAGAUGUGAUAGUGUCAUCAGCACCAUGUUCAUUAUCCAGAGCAGCCGGCUCCUCUUUAUACUGCCUCUGAAAAUUAGCCUUUUGCUGCUCUUUGAGCAAUUGUCCUCUGAGUCGUUUCUCCUGUUUUUGCUGAAGGAAAAUAUUCAUCCUCCUCUCUGCUUCCAGUUGCACUUGUUUAUCAAAAUCUUCCUUGCGAAUAAUCCGAACCUUCUUGACCACCUACAUCCUCAGGCUUGUCUGACCAGCUGUCUCUUGAGUUUGUAGGCAGUUCAGGAAGCUGAUCACUACCUCUUUGGAUGCAGGAUGAAUCUUGUCUGUGUCUUUUACCCCUACCCCUCACAACAUCUCCCCUUCUUAAAAGGC
rnacentral:lncRNA from 1 species